rnacentral:rRNA from 1 species
AAGGGGUAGCAAUACCCUGAGUAAAGUGGCGCACGGGUGAGUAACACGUGACUAACCUACCCUGGAGUGGGGGAUAACUGAGGGAAACCUUAGCUAAUACCGCAUAAUACCCACGGGUCAAAGGAGCAAUUCGCUCUGGGAGGGGGUCGCGGCCGAUUAGUUAGUUGGCGGGGUAACGGCCCACCAAGACGAUGAUCGGUAUCCGGCCUGAGAGGGCGCACGGCCACACUGGCACUGACACACGGGCCAGACUCCUACGGGAGGCAGCAGUGGGGAAUUUUGCACAAUGCCCGAAAGGGUGAUGCAGCAACGCCGCGUGAGGGAUGAAGGCCUUCGGG